AUUCUCCGCCGGGAUUUUCUAGCGAUGCCGACCGUUCUCAGUCUCCGGUUUGUCUUCGCGGAUGGGUCAUGAGAAUCGCCUCGCCUGAAGAAGUCUCCGAUGGCGGCUCCUUCCGACCCGUCCGGGAUUCCAGCCGUCAUCGGCGCUGACGUCAUUCCGGCCGGCGAUUCGGGUCAUGGAGGAAUCAUUCGCUCGCCACCAGGACUCCGCCCUAAUCCACCGUGUUGGCGUUUACUUCCAUCCAAGGAUGGAUCAUUGACAGCCGAAGAACAUUUGUGUCUACUCUCGAAACGACAGCGUUUACAGAGGCAGAGCAGCGGGCGAAUAAACCGACAAACACAUCCACUUCUCAUAAAAAGCUAAUCAAAGGAAAUCCGUGGCGAUCGAAAGGAGCGAGGAAUGAUGGAUACCAUAAGCUUAUCGAAGCCUCUUCUCAUCAAGAGCUCCUCUCCAUCUGUAACGACAAGCAGAUGUUCCAGGAUCUGGGUCGACACUGGAUGUCGUUUCUCCAACACAACCCGUUGCAGGGUGUUUCGAAAGAAGAUGAAGUUGAAAUGUUCCUCAGAGAAUCCGAAUCCAAUCAAGACAUUGACAACCAGCUUCGUCUCUGGCUUUGCAACUGCUCUGCUUCUCUCGCAGGCGGGCCAGGGUAUUGCAAUUGCAUCUGAUCUGCUGCCUAGUUACCAAAGAUUUUGCCAACUAGCAAGUGUUGCUACUGAUGAUAAUAAACCGACUCUUCUGCUUGAAAAUGUACCUGAUGGAAGAGGAAGCUCGGGGAUGAUGAUGAUGAGAGGUAUGACUGCAAAGGACUUUGACCCGAUUAGGUACUCGGGCAGAUGGUUCGAGGUUGCUUCCCUGAAGCGUGGAUUCGCCGGUCAGGGCCAAGAAGACUGCCAUUGCACUCAAGGUGUAUACACGGUCGAUACAAAAGCACCAGCCAUCCAGGUCGAUACAUUUUGCAUUCAUGGCGGCCCUGAUGGGUACAUAACAGGGAUAAGGGGCAGAGUUCAAUGUCUGCCGGAGGAAGACCUAGAGAAAACUGAGACUGAUUUGGAAAAGCGAGAGAUGAUCAAAGAGAAGUGUUACCUCCGAUUCCCCACCCUUCCUUUCAUUCCCAAGGAGCCUUAUGAUGUGAUAGCCACCGACUACGACACGUUUGCUCUUGUAUCCGGGGCCAAAGACCGAAGCUUUGUCCAGAUAUAUUCAAGAACACCCACUCCUGGGCCAGAGUUCAUCGACAAGUACAAGAAUUACUUGGCACAGUUUGGAUAUGACCCAGCAAAAAUAAAAGACACACCCCAGGACUGUGAAGCGAUGUCAAACAGUCAGCUAGCGGCCAUGAUGUCCAUGUCGGGGAUGCAGCAAGCUCUGACAAACCAGUUUUCAGAUCUUGGGUUGAAAGCCCCCAUCGAAUUAAACCCAUUCACAAGCACCUUCGACACCUUGAAGAAACUCCUUGAGCUCUAUUUCAAGUAAUCCAAAGGAUCGUCAUUUUGCAUCAAAGUUUCUGACUGUCGAUGCCCAUCUCCUUCCUGUGCCAGGCUCAUUUGUAUAUGCUGCAUGUAUUAUACAUUGCUGAGAGAGGAGAUGUAAAAAAAAAACGAAAGGUAGAGAGACGAAUGGCUAACUGGAAAG